rnacentral:rRNA from 1 species
UGGGGAAUAUUGGGCAAUGGGCGCAAGCCUGACCCAGCCAUGCCGCGUGAGUGAUGAAGGCCUUCGGGUCGUAAAGCUCUGUGGGGAGGGAAGAAAAACCUUGUGGCUAACAUCCACGAGGCCUGACGGUACCUCCUUAGCAAGCACCGGCUAACUCCGUGCCAGCAGCCGCGGUAAUACGGAGGGUGCAAACGUUGCUCGGAAUCAUUGGGCGUAAAGCGCACGUAGGCGGCCGAUUAAGUCGGGUGUGAAAGCCCUGGGCUCAACCCAGGAAGUGCACUCGAAACUGACCGGCUUGAAUAUGGAAGAGGGUCGCGGAAUUCCCGGUGUAGAGGUGAAAUUCGUAGAUAUCGGGAGGAACACCAGUGGCGAAGGCGGCGACCUGGGCCAAUAUUGACGCUGAGGUGCGAAAGCGUGGGGAGCAAACAGGAUUAGAUACCCCCGUAGUCC